rnacentral:rRNA from 1 species
AGCAGUCGCCGCGGUAAUACGAAGGGGGCUAGCGUUGUUCGGAAUUACUGGGCGUAAAGCGCACGUAGGCGGAUAUUUAAGUCAGGGGUGAAAUCCCAGAGCUCAACUCUGGAACUGCCUUUGAUACUGGGUAUCUUGAGUAUGGAAGAGGUGAGUGGAAUUCCGAGUGUAGAGGUGAAAUUUGUAGAUAUUCGGAGGAACACCAGUGGCGAAGGCGGCUCACUGGUCCAUUACUGACGCUGAGGUGCGAAAGCGUGGGGAGCAAACAGGAUUAGAUACCCCGGUAGUCCCUGUCUCUUAUAC